rnacentral:rRNA from 1 species
GGCGAACGGGUGAGUAACACGUGAGUAACCUUCCCUUGACUCUGGGAUAAGCCUGGGAAACCGGGUCUAAUACCGGAUGCGACCUUUCACCGCAUGGUGGGGGGUGGAAAGAUUUAUCGGUCUUGGAUGGACUCGCGGCCUAUCAGCUUGUUGGUGGGGUAAUGGCCCACCAAGGCGACGACGGGUAGCCGGCCUGAGAGGGUGACCGGCCACACUGGGACUGAGACACGGCCCAGACUCCUACGGGAGGCAGCAGUGGGGAAUAUUGCACAAUGGGCGCAAGCCUGAUGCAGCGACGCCGCGUGAGGGAUGACGGCCUUCGGGUUGUAAACCUCUUUCAGUAGGGAAGAAGCGAAAGUGACGGUACCUGCAGAAGAAGCGCCGGCUAACUACGUGCCAGCAGCCGCGGUAAUACGUAGGGCGCGAGCGUUAUCCGGAAUUAUUGGGCGUAAAGAGCUCGUAGGCGGUUUGUCGCGUCUGCCGUGAAAGUCCGGGGCUUAACCCCGGAUCUGCGGCGGGUACGGGCAGACUGGAGUGCAGUAGGGGAGACUGGAAUUCCUGGUGUAGCGGUGAAAUGCGCAGAUAUCAGGAGGAACACCGAUGGCGAAGGCAGGUCUCUGGGCUGUUACUGACGCUGAGGA